rnacentral:rRNA from 1 species
CAGCAGCCGCCACGGUAAUACGGAGGGUGCAAGCGUUAAUCGGAAUUACUGGGCGUAAAGCGCACGCAGGCGGUCUGACAAGUCAGAUGUGAAAUCCCCGGGCUUAACCUGGGAACUGCAUUUGAAACUGUCAGGCUGGAGUCUUGUAGAGGGGGGUGGAAUUCCAGGUGUAGCGGUGAAAUGCGUAGAGAUCUGGAGGAAUACCGGUGGCGAAGGCGGCCCCCUGGACAAAGACUGACGCUCAGGUGCGAAAGCGUGGGGAGCAAACAGGAUUAGAUACCCGAGUAGUCCCUGUCUCUUU